rnacentral:lncRNA from 1 species
AAUCUAUAGCGUUUGAUUCGGAAACAAAUAGCGAAUAAACUCUUGUUCUUCCCUUUAUUUUCUAACAUUAUGUUUGAUAUUCGGGAAAAUUAGUUUUUUAAUUUCUGAACCAAGCUGGUAUAAGACUAGAAUUAUUAUUCCAUCUUUUUCCUAAAAUAAACUUAUUCUUUGACAAAAACAAGAUUAAUUAAAAUCAAAAUUUAAUUUUAAUGGCAGUAAAUUAUUAAUUAAUCUAAUUAAUAUAUUUAAAUUAUUAU